AAAAACAGAUAAGGGCAGACGGUGGAUGCCUUGGCUCUCGGAGGCGAUGAAGGACGUGAUAAGCUGCGAUAAGCUACGGGGAUUGGCACAUACAAAUUGAUCCGUAGAUUUCCGAAUGGGGCAACCCGGCAUGUAGAAGACAUGUCACACUGCAGAGCAGUGAGCGAACGUGGGGAACUGAAACAUCUAAGUACCCAUAGGAGAAGAAAACAAAAGUGAUUCCCUUAGUAGUGGCGAGCGAACGGGGAACAGCCCAAACCAGUUUUGUUUCGGCAAAACUGGGGUUGUAGGACCUCGGCAUAGGAAGACAAGAUUAGGAGAACGGUCUGGAAAGGCCGGCCAUAGAACAUGACAGCUGUGUAUCCGAAAAUCUUCGUUGGACUUAGAGGUAUCCUGAGUAGCGCGGGACACGUGAAAUCCUGUGUGAAUCUGCGGGGCCCAUCCCGUAAGGCUAAAUACUCCCGAGAGACCGAUAGUGAACCAGUACCGUGAGGGAAAGGUGAAAAGAACCUCGAACAGAGGAGUGCAAUAGAUCCUGAACCCGUCUGCCUACAAGCGGUAGGAGCAGCUUUGUGCUGUGACUGCGUGCCUUUUGCAUAAUGAACCUACGAGUUACUUUCUCUGGCAAGGUUAAGUGAUGAAGAGUCACGUGAGCCGAAGCGAAAGCGAGUCUGAAUAGGGCGAUUUAGUCAGAGGGAGUAGACGCGAAACCAAGUGAUCUACCCUUGGUCAGGUUGAAGGUUGGGUAAAACCAACUGGAGGACCGCACCGGUAAGCGUUGAAAAGCUUUCGGAUGAACUGAGGGUAGGGGUGAAAGGCUAAUCAAACUUGGAGAUAGCUCGUACUCCCCGAAAUGCAUUUAGGUGCAGCCUGUGGAGUUUCUUACGUGAGGUAGAGCGACUGAUUGGAUGCGAGGCUUUCACCGGCUAUCAAGUCCAGACAAACUCCGAAUGCACGUUAAGUAAGAUCCACGGAGUGAGGGCAUGGGUGCUAAGGUCCAUGUCCGAGAGGAGAAGAAUCCAGACCAUCGGCUAAGGUCCCGAAAUAAUAGCUAAGUUGACCAAACGAAGUCAGAGUGCGAAGACAGCUAGGAUGUUGGCUUGGAAGCAGCCAUUCAUUUAAAGAGUGCGUAACAGCUCACUAGUCGAGUGCUUUGGCGUGGAUAAUAAUCGGGCAUAAGCUAUUUACCGAAGCUGUGGGAUGUGUAAACAUCGGUAGGGGAGCAUUCCAGCGACGUUGAAGGUAAGAGGACAACUCUUGCUGGAGUUUCUGGAAAAGCAAAUGUAGGUAUAAGUAACGAUAAAGGAGGUGAGAAACCUCCUCGCCGAAAGACUAAGGUUUCCUGAUCAACGCUAAUCGGAUCAGGGUUAGUCGGGGCCUAAGGGGCAGCCGAAGGGCGGACCCGAUGGAAGAACCGGUUAAUAUUCCGGUACUAAUUAUGUGAGCGAUGUGGAGACGGAGAUGUGACGGUCCUGCCAACUGACGGAAUAGUUGGUUGAAGGGUGUAGGAGUUGAUCUGAGUAGGCAAAUCCGCUCGGAGAUCCGAACCUGACAGUACUCUGAGUGCUUGCACAAGGAGAUAUGGACAACUGUAACGGUGCUCCCAAGAAAAUCCGCUAAGCAUAUUGCAUGAUUACCCGUACCACAAACCGACACAGGUGGUUGGGUUGAGUAUACUAAGGCGCUCGAGUGAUUCGCGGUUAAGGAACUAGGCAAAAUAGUUCUGUAACUUCGGGAUAAAGAACGCUCACCUAACCGGUGAGCCGCAGAGAAUAGACCCAGGCGACUGUUUAACAAAAACACAUGGCUAUGCUAAAUCGAAAGAUACAGUAUAUAGCCUGACACCUGCCCGGUGCUGGAAGGUUAAGAGGAGAUGUCAUCGCAAGAGAAGCAUUGAAUUGAAGCCCCAGUAAACGGCGGCCGUAACUAUAACGGUCCUAAGGUAGCGAAAUUCCUUGUCGGGUAAGUUCCGACCUGCACGAAUGGUGUAA
rnacentral:rRNA from 1 species